rnacentral:rRNA from 1 species
AUUGAACGCUGGCGGCAUGCUUUACACGUGCAAGUCGAACGGCAGCGCGGGCUUCGGCCUGGCGGCGAGUGGCGAACGGGUGAGUAAUACAUCGGAACGUGCCCAGUAGUGGGGGAUAGCUCGGCGAAAGCCGGAUUAAUACCGCAUACGACCUGAGGGUGAAAGCGGGGGAUCUUCGGACCUCGCGCUAUUUGAGCGGCCGAUGGCAGAUUAGCUAGUUGGUGGGGUAAAGGCCUACCAAGGCGACGAUCUGUAGCUGGUCUGAGAGGACGACCAGCCACACUGGGACUGAGACACGGCCCAGACUCCUACGGGAGGCAGCAGUGGGGAAUUUUGGACAAGGGGCGAAAGCCUGAUCCAGCAAUGCCGCGUGUGUGAUGAAGGCCUUCGGGUUGUAAAGCACUUUUGGCGGGAACGAAAAGGACUGUGCCAAUACCACGGUUCGAUGACGGUACCCGCAGAAUAAGCACCGGCUAACUACGUG